rnacentral:lncRNA from 1 species
CCUUGCACCUGGAUCAAUGGGCUGCCCUAAUGAAGGAUAUCAAAAAUGAAGGGGCAGCUAAAGAAAAAUAAAAGACACCUCAGAAAGUAGCCUGCCUCUUUGACAAGGGACAUGCCUUCAGAGGAACAUAACAGAAACCUCUGAGAAUUGUCAACAAUAAAAAGACUGAGCAACAAGGGAAACUGGUAGGAAGCCAAAGGUUUUAAGAGGUGAGAGUGGAGAAAUGCUGUGCUUUUAUUGAUCCUCUCCAAAGGAACACCUUUAAAAAAGGCAAAAAUCAAGUUACCAGGAAAAUAUUUUUUAAAAACCACGAACAGUCUAAGAGCACUGAACAUUUUGAAUCAUUUGCCUUUUCUCAACACUGGAUUUUAAGCAAGGAACAAGACUAUUCCAGUUCUAAAUGCUUUAAUGAACAAGGGGUAUUGGGUUUUAGCAUCAACAUGAUCUAUCCUCACUCUGAAGCUUUAACUUGAGUAGCUGCUGUGCUUUGUAAAGCUUCAAUCCAAUUCAUUUGAUAACUACAAUUACCAAAUCUGGGCAUUGCUGACUACACAGUUCAAAAAAACAGCAUGGAGGGAAGACCUGCUGAGAACCUUAGAAUCUAUCGAUAAGCUCUUGAAAUGGUUUAAAGUAAUAAACCACUUCAAUUGAAAGGGCAAUAAAAUGUUUUUCGUGUA